rnacentral:rRNA from 1 species
CGGGGUGCAGCAGGCGCGAAAACUUUACAAUGCGGGCAACCGUGAUAAGGGAACCUCGAGUGCCUGUAAAUGCAGGCUGUUCAGGUGCCUAAAACACACCUGAAGAAAGGGCCGGGCAAGACCGGUGCCAGCCGCCGCGGUAAUACCGGCGGCUCGAGUGGUGGCCGCUUUUAUUGGGCUUAAAGCGUUCGUAGCUGGGUUGUUAAGUCUCUUGGGAAAUCUGGCGGCUUAACCGUCAGGCGUCUAAGGGAUACUGGCAAUCUUGGAACCGGGAGAGGUGAGGGGUACUUCGGGGGUAGGAGUGAAAUCCUGUAAUCCUCGAGGGACCACCUGUGGCGAAGGCGCCUCACCAGAACAGCUUCGACAGUGAGGGACGAAAGCUGGGGGAGCAAACCGGAUUAGAUACCCGGGUAGUCCCAGCCGUAAACUAUGCGCAUUAGGUGUAUCGGUGACCACGAGUUACCGAGGUGCCGAAGGGAAACCGUGAAACGUGCCGCCUGGGAAGUACGGUCGCAAGGCUGAAACUUAAAGGAAUUGGCGGGGGAGCACCACAACAGGUGGAGCCUGCGGUUUAAUUGGACUCAACGCCGGGAAGCUCACCGGAUAAGACAGCAGAAUGAUUGCCGGGCUGAAGACUCUGCAUGACUAGCUGAGAGGAGGUGCAUGGCCGUCGUCAGUUCGUACUGUGAAGCAUCCUGUUAAGUCAGGCAACGAGCAAGACCCACGCCAACAGUUGCCAGCAUGGUCUCCGGACUGAUGGGGGACACUGUUGGGACCGCCUCUGCUAAAGAGGAGGAAGGA